GUAGGGAGUGUCGGGUACUGGGCGUAAGCGCACGCAGGCGGUCGGCUGCGUAGGUGGUGACAGUCCUCGGCUUACCUGAGGAAGCGCUGCCUAAACGGGUCGACUUGAGGGCCAGAGAGGGACACGGAACUCCGGGUGGAGCGGUGAAAUGCGUAGAGAUCCGGAAGAACACCAAAGGCGAAGGCAGUGUCCUGGCUGGCUCCUGACGCUCAGGUGCGAAAGCUAGGGGAGCAAACAGGAUUAGAUACCCUGGUAGUCCUAGCUGUAAACGAUGACCACUAGGUGUGUAGAGUAUCGACCCUCUGCGUGCCGCAGCUAACGCAAUAAGUGGUCCGCCUGGGGAGUACGGUCGCAAGAUUAAAACUCAAAGGAAUUGACGGGGACCCGCACAAGCAGCGGAGCGUGUGGUUUAAUUCGAUGCAACGCGAAGAACCUUACCAGGGUUUGACAUGCCUGUGCACCAGCCAGAGAUGGCUGUGCCCGCAAGGGACGCAGGCACAGGUGCUGCAUGGCAGUCGUCAGCUCGUGCCGUGAGGUGUUGGGUUAAGUCCCGCAACGAGCGCAACCCCUAUGGCUAGUUGAAUCUUUCUAGUCAGACUGCCGCGUCUAACGCGGAGGAAGGUGGGGAUGACGUCAAGUCAGCACGGCCCUUACAUCCUGGGCGACACACACGCUACAAUGGUCAGGACAACGGGUUGCCAACCCGCGAGGGGGAGCUAAUCCCAACAAACCUGAUCUCAGUUCAGAUUGCAGGCUGCAACCCGCCUGCAUGAAGUCGGAGUUGCUAGUAACCGUGGGUCAGCACACUACGGUGAAUACGUUCCCGGGUCUUGUACACACCGCCCGUCACGUCAUGGGAGCUGGCAACACCUGAAGUCGGUGACCGAACCGCAAGGGCGGAGCCGCCGAAAGUGGGGCUAGUAACUGGGACGAAGUCGUAACAAGGUAAC
rnacentral:rRNA from 1 species